rnacentral:rRNA from 1 species
AUGGCUGCCUCCACUGUUUCCUCCUGGGUUCCACCUUCUCUUCCCGAGUCCAGCGCCGCCGCCGCCUCAGGCUCAGGCCUGGUCCUCCUUGACAGGUGGUGCUACAUCGCCGACCUUCCCAACAACACCACCGCCGAGGGCACCACCAGCAGCGGCUUGCCUAUCAAGGUGACCCUCCGCGCCGCCCGCCCGCCACAUCUCUCCCACUUUUGUGUCCACUGCCCUGGCCUGGAAUUCCGCAGAACAGCGCCCAAGAUUGUCGCCACCGACGCACAUCUCGUCCUCCUCUGCGUUCCCAUCCACCCCAACAGCACCACCGGAGCAUCGGACUGGGACUACUUCGUCUACAGCCCGCGCGCCCAGCGGCUAGAUCUGCUACCCAACCCGGACCCCAUAUGGCUCGACGACCCCGCAACUGCCCUCAUUAGCCGCCAAGACGGCGCUUGCUAUGUCGUCGCUGCGCUCGGCAACGGUAACUCCCUGUACGACGGCAACGCGCUCAUUAGGUGUGAGUUCCACCUCCACCUCUACAGAUCAUCAUCAAAUUCUAAAGCUUGGAUCUCCAAGCGCUUGUCACUGAAUAAGUUCAAGAGGGACAAGCUCAUCCCUUUACCUGCAGCAGUCGAGAGGCUGUACCACGAGACGGGGAAGACAAUCACAAUUGGUGGUGAGCAUGGCACGGUCGCCUGGGUGGACCUCUGGCGUGGCAUCUUCUUUUGCGACGUGCUCAAGAAACGCCCACGGCUCCGGGAUGUUCCACUGCCGGUGCCGGCAAGGUCUAACUGGAUUGCCUCCUCAGAAAUGGUGACCCCGGCUAUUUCCGGGACGUAA